CGUCGAUUUGUAUCGCAACCAACCGGUCCGCAACGUGCUGAUUAAAGAACAUGGACUUUGGAACGAAACUUUGCACACACAAAUCGUUGCGCGACAACGUUACACACACCGAUUUGUUUCGGAUUUGGGUACCACGUAGUCCAUGCAGUGAUUGGACCGCUACUUUUUGUGCUGUUCGUACCGAUGAUUUUCCAGAUAGUAUUAAGUCGUUUAUGAGGUUAUAUGCCGAUGAUCUUAAGUUAGUAGGCGAUGCCAACAAUCCUGAAAUUUUAGAGCACGAUCUGGAAUGUCUGUCUACCAGAGAAUCAGAUUGGGAUAUGAAUUUUUAUCCUGGGAAAUGUACUGUUAUUCACAUCGGGAAAGAUAACCCAAGGAAUGAUAACUCUCUAAACGGUAACAAGCUGCGAAUCGUUGGCAAAUAGAAGGACCAGGUAUUAAAUCGUAAUUGGUAAAAGUUGCUUGGG